AGACCAACGGACGAUGUGAUUGGGCUUCGAACCACUCAGUGGUUUAUGCUCAGGAAAGUCCCCGGGCCCAUUACCGCAGAGAUGCGGGCCUGGAAACAGGUUAUGCUUCGAAGCAAAUGAAUCAUGUUGGGCCAGAAAUGGUUCGACGGGCUGAGACCAGUGUGGAGCCUUAUGGAUUCUAGCUCGAAGUUAAUUUGGCCGAUGUCACAGUCAUUCACAUGGUCCUUUGUGACUAACUGAACGGUCAUUCACAUGGUCCUUUGUGACUAACUGAACGGUCAUUCACAUGGUCCUUUGUGACUAACUGAACGGGGCUUAUGAUCCGUUGGUC
rnacentral:RNase_MRP_RNA from 1 species